rnacentral:rRNA from 1 species
CCUACGGGCGGCAGCAGUAGGGAAUAUUGCUCAAUGGGGGAAACCCUGAACCAGCAACGCCGCGUGGAGGAUGAAGGUUUUCGGAUUGUAAAAUCCUUUUGUUAGAGAAGAUAAUGACGGUAUCUAACGAAUAAGCACCGGCUAACUCCGUGCCAGCAGCCGCGGUAAUACGGAGGGUGCAAGCGUUACUCGGAAUUACUGGGCGUAAAGGGGGCGUAGGCGGGAUAGCAAGUCAGAUGUGAAAUCCUAGGGCUUAACCAUAGAACUGCAUUGGAAACUGUUAUUCUAGAGUAUGGGAGAGGUAGGUGGAAUUCUUGGUGUAGGGGUAAAAUGCGUAGAGAUCAAGAGGAACACUCAUUGCGAAGGCGGCCUGCUAGAACAUAACUGACGCUGAUGCUCGAAAGCGUGGGGAGCAAACAGGAUUAGAUACCCUAGUAGUC